rnacentral:rRNA from 1 species
UACGUAGGUGGCAAGCGUUGUCCGGAAUUAUUGGGCGUAAAGCGCGCGCAGGCGGUCCUUUAAGUCUGAUGUGAAAGCCCACGGCUCAACCGUGGAGGGUCAUUGGAAACUGGGGGACUUGAGUACAGAAGAGAAGAGUGGAAUUCCACGUGUAGCGGUGAAAUGCGUAGAGAUGUGGAGGAACACCAGUGGCGAAGGCAGUGUCCUGGGGAGUACCUGACGCUCAGGUGCGAAAGCCAGGGGAGCGAACGGG